rnacentral:lncRNA from 1 species
ACUUUAUGAGUUGAGAAACAUGUUUUAAAUAUGAAACUUGUUGAAGUGAACUUUGGUGAGUUAAGCUAUUUCUGCUAUCAUCCUAUUGCAUGACAAUUUGGUUCUUUGCUUUGGACAAAUUAAAUUUCAGAUUGGUUGAGGACAGGGCUGUAUUUCAUUGUUUCAUUUCAAUUUUUGUGCUUGAGGACAAGCAAAGGUGCAAGUGUGGGG